GUUACAACCCAGAAGACCGUGCGAAGCACAAAUUCUACUAAUAAAACUAAUAUAUGUCACACCUAGUUUUAGGGCUGAGUUGGACCACAUUUCUCACACCGGACAUUACUGAAUAACUCUUGCGACAAAUGUGCCAGGUUCUACAGAACCGAAUGAGACAGAUGGCAUGAAUACAGACGACUGUUGGAAUGGGCCAGCCGUAGCAUUCGCAUGCAAAGGCGGCAAGAAACCUCAUUCAAGAUACCACUAGACCUAGAUGUUUGAUAAUGUGAAUAAAAAAACACUCUAUCUGAUACCAAAAGCUGCAUGUCAGUCAAUACUUUGAGUCUGCUGAGAAUUCAAUAUUUACACCAUAAAUAUUUUAAGUAAUUUUCCUUCAAAACAAUUCAAUGCUAACCCUUAUUGCUCCAGAGACCAAAAUCAAAUGCCCAUUAAAAUCCGUACAGUGCUUCUCUAGUUGUUACACGCUGACAAACGAAUGGUCGGACAAACAUGGCGAAGUCAACAGGAUCAUUUUUUUAACUUUCAUUGCAAGCACGCUAACCGAAAAUAGUUGGGAUAUAAAUGAAAAUGACCAUCAGGAAACAGGAAAGUGAGCUUACCCACAAACGUUGGUUCAAUACUAACUAUUAGACUGAACACAUGUUAUACCAGUCCCAGAGCCGGAAUGCAUCCACGUCAACUGCAAGGCUUAAAACCAAAUGACAAUGUAUUACACCAUUAAACUUUCAAUUAAUCUGCUUCAACACUCUGUUAAAAAAAACUUUCACUUCUACACACCAUUCUUCCAUUCAUUCUUCAAUAAAAGCCUCAAUGAAAAUAACUGGUUUCAGUGUGGGUUUAUGCCAAAUGCUUGCUACUGAAAAGACCUAUAUGGGAGGAUAAUAUUAAAAUGGAUUUGAAAAAAGAGUGUGAAGGUGUUGACCACAUUCCACUCACCGGAAGACAACAGCAUUCAACAGAAAAUUUUAAAUCAACACUGCAAUUAACUUUCAGGUUCCAUAAAAUCAAGGCAUUUCAACUUGUCAAGGAAGCAACAAGUUUAAGUUUUUGUCAGCUGAGUAUUUUGAGUUUCCUGUAAAGGAAGUUGAUACCUUCUGACAUUUCAGAAAUGUAGCUUCAAGGAUUACUGCAACACCUGAUGUGUUUAACAAUACCUUACUGUCAACAACAUUAAUCUAUAAUUCUUCUAUAGAAGUAGAAAUGUAAGUGUUGAGAAAUGCAAAUGCUAUUUUACUGUAUGUGCUACCUGUUUUGAAAAAGAAGUUUUCUACAUAUUACACAAGUUAACUUUGGA